rnacentral:rRNA from 1 species
AUUGAACGCUGGCGGCAUGCUUUACACAUGCAAGUCGAACGGCAGCGCGGGCUUCGGCCUGGCGGCGAGUGGCGAACGGGUGAGUAAUGCAUCGGAACGUGCCCAGUAGUGGGGGAUAGCCCGGCGAAAGCCGGAUUAAUACCUCAUACGACCUGAGGGUGAAAGCGGGGGACCGAAAGGCCUCGCGCUAUUGGAGCGGCCGAUGUCGGAUUAGCUAGUUGGUGGGGUAAAGGCUUACCAAGGCGACGAUCCGUAGCUGGUCUGAGAGGACGACCAGCCACACUGGGACUGAGACACGGCCCAGACUCCUACGGGAGGCAGCAGUGGGGAAUAUUGGACAAUGGGGGCAACCCUGAUCCAGCCAUGCCGCGUGCGGGAAGAAGGCCUUCGGGUUGUAAAACGCUUUUGUUCGGGAAGAAAUCCUCUGGGCUAAUACCCCGGGGGGAUGACGGUACCGGAAGAAUAAGCACCGGCUAACUACGUG